rnacentral:pre_miRNA from 1 species
ACUGGUUUCCUGUGGUUCCUUGAUUGUAAAUAAUAUUCAAGCACCAUAUGAAAUCAGUUU